rnacentral:rRNA from 1 species
GUACACGCUGUGACUAGCAUAUCAAUAAGCGGAGGAAAAGAAACUAACAAGGAUUCCCUUAGUAACGGCGAGUGAAGCGGGAAGAGCUCAAAUUUGAAAUCUUCAAGGUUUUACCUUGACGAAUUGUAGUUUAAAGAAGUGUUUUCUGCUGAAGUUUUGGUAAAAGUUCUUUGGAAUAGGACAUCAUAGAGGGUGAGAAUCCCGUAUUUGACCAUUAUUUUCAGCUUUGUGAUACACUAUUCAAAGAGUCGGAUUGUUUGGGAAUGCAGUCCAAAAUGGGUGGUAAAUUUCAUCUAAAGCUAAAUAUUGGCGAGAGACCGAUAGCGAACAAGUACCGUGAGGGAAAGAUGAGAAAGAACUUUGAAAAGAGAGUUAAACAGUACGUGAAAUUGUCAAAAGGGAAGCGUUUGACACCAGUGUUGUUUUCUCGAAAAUCAAUUAAAAAUGGCUCGAUUUUGUAUUGCUUGAGACCUUAAAAGCUCACUGUACAUUUUUCGUGUCUUUUUUAAUGCACUUUUCGUUUAACAAGUCAACAUCAGUUUCUUUUGUUGUAAAAGGGUCAUUGGAAGGUGGCUUUCUUUUCGAAGAAAGUGUUUAUAGCCUUUGGCCUCUGCAAUCGGAGAGACUGAGGUCUGCAGCGUAGACUCUUCGGGGUUAGAUACAUUUGUGCUAAGUUAUAGCAUUUUCAUAGACAACUUGUUGACUAUGAUUUGUCUUGUAGCUUACUCGCUUAUGUUAUUUUACCUACGCUUAGGAUGUUGAGCGCAUGUCUCUCUCU